GUGAUUUGCAGUGAAGGAAAAUGGAGGGCUAUAAUUCAGACAGUAUAUGAGGAAAAAUCUGAGUUGUACACAAAUUUCUAGACAUAAUUUUCAUUCUGUCAUUUUUUGGAAAACAAACUUUAUCUCUUGUGAUAAUAUGCAGCUUUGUGAAGCUGCUAUUUUUCUAUGCAAUGAAAAGACUAUUUGAGCAGCUGCAAAAAAUUAAAAAGGAAGAAUGGGUUGUGAAUUGAUUUUAGUUCAUAUGAAUUACACCAGACUUCAAGUUAAAGGUGCAAGUGGGUAUUCUUUGUCUUGGUGUUUAUAUAAUUUUAUUCAAGAGGGUGGUUAUAUUUGCUUAGGUACAUGUUAUAUUUGGCAAAGGAUCAUUCUCUUAAUUUUUCCCAUCUUACUCUACCGACAUUGUUAAUGUGUAAAAACGAACAGUACACCCACUAUAAUAAUAUAAUUUUCCUUGUGGAAAUGUACAUGUUUUAUGAAAUAUUUGACACAGCUCACUAGUCAAGUCAGUUGUGUAAUGCAGUAGGUUUGUACUGAUUCUGUAGAUAUUGGGAAGGGGGAGCUAAUUUUAAAACAAAAAUUGUGAUUAUUUUUUAUACAUUUGUCAUUCUCAAAAAAAGGUAAUAAUAAUGUACAUGACAAUGAUAUUUGUUCAAAUGUACUUGUAUGUACUUCCAGUGAAUUGAUUUGUAAAAAUAAAAUUGGUAAGGAA